ensembl:lncRNA
GUUCUCUGCUACUGCCUGGGUGUCAUGCCACCCUAGAUGAAGUUCUCUGCUACUGCCUGGGUGUCAUGCUACCCUAGAUGAAGUUCUCUGCUACUGCCUGGGUGUCAUGCCACCCCUAGAGGAGGUUCUCUGCUUCUGCCUGGGUGUCAUGCCACCCUAGAGGAGGUUCUCUGCUACUGCCUGGGUGUCAUGCUUUCCUAGAGGAAGUUCUCUGCUACUGCCUGGGUGUCAUGCCACCCUAGAGGAAGUUCUCUGCUACUGCCUGGGUGUCAUGCCACCCCUUAGAGGAGGUUCUCUGCUUCUGCCUGGGUGUCAUGCCACCCUAGAGGAGGUUCUCUGCUACUGCCUGGGUGUCAUGUCACCCCUAGAGGAGGUUCUCUGCUACUGCCUGGGUGUCAUGUCACCCCUAGAGGAGGUUCUCUGCUACUCCCUGGGUGUCAUGCCACCCCUUAGAGGUUCUCUGCUACUGCCUGGGUGUCAUGCCACCCCUAGAGGAGGUUCUCUGCUACUGCCUGGGUGUCAUUCUACCCUAGAGGAGGUUCUCUGCUUCUGCCUGAGUGUCAUGCCACCCUUAGAGGAGGUUCUCUGCUACUGCCUGGGUGUCAUGCUACCCUAGAUGAAGUUCUCUGCUACUGCCUGGGUGUCAUGCCACCCCUAGAGGAGGUUCUCUGCUUCUGCCUGGGUGUCAUGCCACCCUAGAGGAGGUUCUCUGCUACUGCCUGAGUGUCAUGCCACCCUAGAGGAAGUUCUCUGCUACUGCCUGAGUGUCAUGCCACCCUUAGAGGAGGUUCUCUGCUUCUGCCUGGGUGUCAUGCCACCCUAGAGGAGGUUCUCUGCUACUGCCUGCGUGUCAUGCCACCCCUAGAGGAGGUUCUCUGCUACUGCUUGCGUGUCACCCUAGAGGAGGUUAUCUGCUACUGCCUGCGUGUCACCCCUAGAGGAGGUGCUCUGCUACUGCCUGCGUGUCACCCCUAGAGGAGGUUUUCUGCUACUGCCUGCGUGUCACCCCGAGAGGAGGUUCUCUGCUACUGCCCGCGUGUCCCCCCUAGAGGAGGGCACCUUGAUUGGUCCUAGACAGGGUUACCUGCCUCGCCUCGCUCCUUACCGUAUGGGCCGAGAACAGCAGUCUGCUGCUCGUACUGGGCGCAGAUGAAAUGAUAAACACCUCAUCUGUCCCCAAGUCCAGUUCCGUGAGACCAUUGGAUGAGAGGUCCACUUCAGCAUGCUCAGACAUAUCAC